GCCACGGUGGUUUAGCGGUCAGAACACUAGCCUUGCAAGCCUGGGGUCCCGGGUUCAAUUCCCGGUGGUGCUC
rfam:Zootermopsis nevadensis contig8138, whole genome shotgun sequence.